GUUGAACGCUGGCGGCAGGCCUAACACAUGCAAGUCGAACGAGUGGCGGACGGGUGAGUAAUUUCUGGGAAACUGCCCGAUGGAGGGGGGUAACUACUAGAAACGGUAGCUAAUACCGCAUACCAUCGGAUGUGCCCAGGUGGGAUUAGCUAGUAGGGGGGGUAACGGCUCACCUAGGCGACGCGCCCUAGCUGGUCUGAGAGGAUGACCCGCCACACUGGAACGGAGACACGGUCCAGACUCCUACGGGAGGCAGCAGUGGGGAAUAUUGCACAAUGGGCGAAAGCCUGAUGCAGCAAUGCCGCGUGUAUGAAGAAGGCUUUCGGGUUGUAAAGUACUUUCAGUGGGGAGGCGUUACUCGCAGAAGAAGCACCGGCUAACUCCGUGCCAGCAGCCGCGGUAAUAC
rnacentral:rRNA from 1 species